rnacentral:rRNA from 1 species
UACAUGGGGUGCAAACGUUGCUCGGAAUUAUUGGGCGUAAAGCGCGCGUAGGCGGUUACUUAAGUCGGAUGUGAAAGCCCUCGGCUUAACUGAGGAAGUGCACCCGAAACUGAGUAGCUAGAGUACGAAAGAGGGUCGCGGAAUUCCCGGUGUAGAGGUGAAAUUCGUAGAUAUCGGGGAGGAACACCGGUGGCGAAGGCGGCGACCUGGGUCGAGACUGACGCUGAGGCGCGAAAGCGUGGGGAGCGAACAGG